ACUGCCUCUGCCUUGAGGCUAACACACUACAAUAGAGAGCACAACUCCAUUAUGAUGUGGUCUGUUAUGAAAAUUCUGAAAUCACUUAAUAAGAGCAACACACAACACUAAAGGAGGUGUUUGGACAAGGAAAUAACUACUUGAUCUAUACCAGAUUCCUGAACCUUUUAAAGGUGAAAAAUUCACUCUUUGCUCAUUUACCAGGGGAAGAUGAAGACCAAAAAAC
rnacentral:lncRNA from 1 species